UACGUAGGCAGCAAGCGUUGUUCGGAAUUACUGGGCGUAAAGAGUGUGUAGGCGGUGCUCCAAGUCUGGUGUGAAAUCUCCCGGCUCAACUGGGAGGGUGCGCUAGAAACUGGAAUGCUAGAGGAUGGGAGAGGUAAGCGGAAUUCCUGGUGUAGCGGUGAAAUACGUAGAUAUCUGGAGGAACACCGGUGGCGAAGGCGGCGACCUGGUCCUAUACUGACACUCAUACACGAAAGCGUGGGGAUCAAACAGG
rnacentral:rRNA from 1 species